CAUCGAAACUGACAACUUGAAUUAAUUAUACAUAUGUACAUAUGUAUAUGCGCAACAUUACCACCAGAAUUUCGAAAGUGCUACGGGCUUUAAUAAAAUGGCCGAAGCUGUGUAAAAUGUAUUUGUUUGUGGCUCAACUAUAUGAGUAGAUUUAUGAAAUAUACAAUAGUAAAUCGGUGCAAACUAUUAAAAUGCAUCCUUGAAAAUUUCAUGUUUUUUUACAAAAAUAACAGACGUGAGAACAUCAAUUCACAGCAGUGCUCAUCGCUAAGAGUAAAUAAUCAAAAAUUAUCGUGGAGGUAUAAGGAGGAAAGAACAUUUCUGUUGGCAUAAGCGUGAUAAAGAAUGUUAAAGCGCAUUAAUACAAGUUGAGACAAUUAAGAAGUGUCGAAUUGUUGGAGAAAGGUGCAUACUCAUACUUACAAAUGCGUUCAGGAAUGGUGGGUUGUCACUCAGCUGGUUGGUGUAGUUUCUUUUUUUGCAAUUACUUUGACAAGGUUAACAUGGGUUUUCAAUAGCACUUGUUGCUCGCUCACUUGUUACUUCCGGAUUGCCCAUUUUUUAAUAACAAGAAUGUCACGAUUCCUACAAAAUUUAUGACUGAACCCCAAUAAGUAGUUUAUGGUAAGGUGGUCUGGACAGAAGUGCCAAACUCGCUCAUAAUACAAUCUAUGCAUAUCAACUCGGAACUUUAAUGGAAUAUCAAAUGGAAUACCAAUGUCAAAAAAAAUUUAAAGAACAUGAAAGUCUAAGCCGUUUAACAUGUUCACCCCAACAUGGAAUAAAUAAGGACACGACUUCAAUAAGCAAAACUAAACAAAACUCACCUCCAUUUGCAAUAAUACAGAAAACAGAUGAUAUGUGUUCACGUUCACCUGAGUCAACAGUUAAAGGCUCUAAAGCUCCAAGAUGUUUACCCGAUAUUAAUUCCUAUGAUUCAAUGAGGCAACCACCAUCAAGUCCAUCCGCACGGAGACCCCACGGAUCUCAAAGCUCAUACUCCGAUCCGUUUAUAAUGGCUAGUAGAGGUGUACAUUUGUCUCACAUGAAUGAAAACCCACGUAGUCCGAAAAUAACAACCACUUAUGCUAAUGAUAGUUAUGAUGAUGCCUCUUCAACACCAUCCUUUUAUCAUACACCGACUUCUGGUUCACAUAGCCCGAGAGGAAUUUCAUCCCACGAAAACUCAAUGGAUUCACCAUCUUCUGGAACAUUUCUUAGCGGUCCAGGAACAUCCUCACCUCGACGAAGUCCUAACUCACCCAGAAAAUUUGUAUUUGAGGCCAUUAGCCCAGUCAUGGAUUACUCUUAUAAAAAGUUUGAAUACUACGAACCUAUUACUCCUGAAGAUGAAAUUUCUAACGAAAUCUAUGAAAUAAAUACCAUUGAACAUUUCGGCACAUCAUCACGAAUACCAACCUCACCAAAAAUAUGUGAAGCAAAAGGAAAGAACACAAAACCACUUUUGCGUUCCUCACCUUUAGAAAAUAUUUCUAAUUUAUAUGAAAGUCAGCAAAACAGUAAGGAGAUGAAGCCGCCAGAGUGGGAAAUAUCUCAAAUUGAUCAGCAUUGUUUGAUUAGUAAUAAUUAUUAUAUGAAAAGAGAUUCGUGUGUUACGGAGAGCACACAGCUGUCAUGUGACUCAAAUGACACAACUAAUUGUACGAUUGCUACUGUUACCACAUCUUUCUCUGAGCAAUCAAAAAUUGAUUCUGUUUUGGAAGGAUUUGUAUCAAAAGAGGCGACCCCAUUUGAGUUACAGGGAAGAAGUAAACAUCGAAGACACGCUAUCAAUAUAACUUCCAAUCCCUGUUAUCAGGUAUUACACAGUUCACACUCUACUUUAGAUCGUACCUGUUCAGACAGUGCGGCAUCACUGCAGCACCGUAAAUCAACCAGUGAUUUGACUGGAGACUCCGAAUGUGUUCUAAAUAAGAAUAAAAUUUUAGAAGAAUCAAUUUCCACAAGCUAUAAGCUCAGGCGGAGGGGUAGUUCUAAAGGCGGUCUGGCAUAUUUAGCUAGUCGCCGUAGUUCACGGGAGUCUAUGAAAAGUGUGUGCUCCAACACAUCUGUCUUUUCCAACGAUGAUAUUGGGCCAUUAGCUUUUCAAGCAUCAAACCGCGGACGACAACGUCGAACAUCAAAUUUCCUUGAACUACCAGUUCCAGAUCACAUAAGACCACGUGUAUGUUCUCUACCUGAACGUCCAUAUAAUCCUCGGGCUAGUGAUGAUCUUUACCGCCUAAGGCACUUCUCAAUAAGCAAGGGCAAUGUAGUGAACUGUGGUGACUCCAUUAUUUCAAGGCGGUCGCGCAGUAACACCAGCGUCAACUCUACUAAUAGCAGAGCAAGCGAACGUUCACCAUUCGAGGGAUCAUGCUGUGGAGGUGGGUAUGCUAAUGUAGACUCGGUUCCUUCAUCACCACAUUCGGACGAUCUCGAACCUCCACCACCAGCACGUUAUCGUAUAGUUAUGUUAGGUGAUUCAGGUGUUGGAAAAACAGCUUUGGUAAAUCAAUUCAUGACGUCGGAAUAUAUGCACACCUAUGAUGCUAGUUUAGUUGUAGAUGACGAAUUUGGUGAAAAGACAGUGAGCGUUUUGUUGGACGACGUAGAAUCAGAGUUGGUAUUCAUUGAUCAUCCAAGAGUGGAAAUGAGCGUGGAAAACUCGUUAUCAACUUAUGAGCCGCACGGAUGUGUUGUUGUAUUUUCUGUAGUUGAAAAAUCAUCGUUCCGAGUUGCAGAAGAAAUUAUAAAAUACUUGUGGCAGGAAAACUAUAUUAAAGAUAAAUCUGUUAUUAUAGUAGGGAACAAAGCGGAUUUAGCACGUGCUCGAGUUAUCUCAACACAAGAAGGAAAAGCGUUAGCUGCUUCACACGAUGCAAAAUUUAUAGAGACAUCCAGUGGAAUUCAACACAAUGUUGAUGAACUAUUGGUAGGAAUCCUAAAACAGCUACUUAUUCGGCCGGUAUCUUGUCAGCAGUUGAGCUACUUUUUUUUGGCACCUCGGAAGACAGCCCACCACUCUAUUAUUUCUCAACAUUAUCUUAGAAUAUAGCUGAAAAUAUACCUUAUUAUAUUCAAAGAAGUUCGAAAUAUUUAAUCAGCCCCUUAAAUUAUACUACAAGUUACAGCUUAUACGGGACGGACGGAUAGACAGAUUCUGGGGUCGAAUCGUUACGGAUCAGCAAACAUACGAAAGAAAAUUACGUGAUACGUCAAUCGUAUGCGGUGAUUGGCAUUAUGACAUACGACAGCAAACGGAUCGUAAUGUAUUUUAAAUUCACAAUAGUUUUUAAAUUCCACAUUGCUUUGGAUCGUAUUUUUAGGUCACAAUAGAUGUGGAACUGUCAAAACUGUUGCGAAAUUUUCAAUAAACUAACAAAAGCUAGUUAAAUAUCAAAAUGGAUCCAACUUUGUUUUAUUAUUUGAGCUUUAGUGAAAGCGAUGGAGAUAAAAAAUAGUGCGGAAAUAGCUAAGAGAUCGUAGCAAUAGCAUGAAUCGUUGAACAAAGCAUUGGAAUCUUAAAAAGACGGUGGAGAAUUUUAGGAUAUAGCAAGGGAGGAAGGUAUCCCUCCACAAAAGUGGAAGAUUUGUAAAUGUUUGUGAGGCACUACAUAACAUCUGCAUAAAAUGUACAAUAAGUUACGACCCUUAAAAAAGCGAUUCUUAACACACACAAAAAAUGGACAUGGGUAGCGCAUCGCCUCACCGCAAUCGACCAACCGAUAAGAAACCAUAUAAUGAAUUCUUUAAAAAAUUUAAUUCAAAAAUGUAUACGUCCUUAACUUUGUAAAUAAUUUUAUUUUUAAUGUCAAUUAAAAUACAAAAAUUUUGUUCGUAUAAAUAA